GAUCCUACGGGGGGCAGCAGUGGGGAAUAUUGGGCAAUGGGCGCAAGCCUGACCCAGCAACGCCGCGUGAAGGAAGAAGGCCCUCGGGUUGUAAACUUCUUUUAUCAAGGACGAAACAAAUGACGGUACUUGAUGAAUAAGCCACGGCUAACUACGUGCCAGUAGCCGCGGUAAUACGGAGGGUGCGAGCGUUAAUCGGAAUUACUGGGCGUAAAGCGCUCGUAGGCGGUAUGUCAAGUCAAGGGUGAAAUCCCCGCGCUCAACGUGGGAACUGCCUUUGAAACUGGCAAACUGGAGUGUGUGAG
rnacentral:rRNA from 1 species